GUGUUAGUAAAAAACUCCUGAGGGAAUCGUUGAAGGAGCUUCUGCAGGAAUCCAAGAAAGACUCCAAGAUACUCCUAUAAGGAAAUCCUAUAACGAACUUCUUUGCAAAUCCUAGAAAAUAAUUCUUGAGGAUUCCUAGAAUUAUUUCUUGAAGGAACAUCAGAAGAAAUUGUUGGAGUAAUUUCAGUAGGAACUCCUGGGGCUCGAAGGAACCUCUAGAGAAAUUUAAGAAAAAAUACUUUAAAUCAAUCUCUGAAGGCACUCCUGAAUGAAUUUCAAAAAGAGCCCCUGAAUGAAUCUCUGAAAAAAAAGCUCUAGGAGGAAACCAAGGGUAAUGACAUAUCCUUUUCUAAUUGGAAAAUCCGCAUUUAUCCGUCGCUUCUAACUGAGCUGCUCGGCACAGUUAGACGCGGUUAACGACGGUUAGCAACGGAUAAACGCAUAUUUUUCCGGUUAGCAAAGGAAAUGUAAUUCCCCCUGGAGGAACCUGAGAAGGAACUUCCGUUGGAAAAUCAGAAGGAAUUCAGAAAGAACAUCUGAUGGAAUGCCUGACUAAAUUUAUGGAGGAUUAUCACUCUGCAGCAGACGAAUUUGCUAGAAUAUUUUUACUAAAGGAAGUUCACCCAGAAGCCCAUGACUGUAUACUGCAAGGAUUUCGCGACGAUCGUGUGAAUGUGCAAUCUUUGACAGCACAAUGUUCACACAUCCAACAACAAAGCAAACCUAUUAGUCCGAAAUAAAAUAAUCAGUAUUUGAAUAAACUCAUUGUUUACUUCGGAAGAACAACGAAAUUAAUCGAAAUUAAACCCUUCAAUUCCAUUCUCAGGUCUGGUUCCGGAGUUCAUUUUUUGUAAGAACGCCGCUCAAACGUAGAAAUUAUUAAGUUCGUGCAUCGGUCCAUUAGCUUGUACAACACCCUUGGCUGCAAUGUCUUGCACUCUGCCACAAGAAAUUUGACGUGCACUUGGUUGGUGAUCUUCCGGAUUUUUUGUAAGCUAUCCAAUUCGAUGUAUGUAUGUCAGCGUUGACAUUAAGAAAGAUGAUACUAAAAGCUAUUGUCAAAGGAAAAUAGCAACCACCAGGGCAAAAUAUAAGUUAAUUUUGAGGGUGUUCUGGCAGCACUGCAUGAGUGCCGGUUGCCACAAGAUAUGCGUUCGGUCGAUGAGGCAUUGGUAAGUGUCGUUUGACAGGUGUCAGAGUGACAGCAGAGAUGACAUGAGAAGGUGAGAGAGACAGAUAGCUGUCAAAGGUAGAAAGUAAAUAAAAACAAAGGAAAGGAAGAAAUUGAAUUAGAUUGAAGGUGCCAUUUGCGAUUGUUGAUGAUAGGCAAAAUAAAGGUAGAAUAGAUUAAUAGUUCGGAAGUUUGGUGAUUAAAAAGGGAGUUGAAAUUCGGUUGAAAUAGAGAAAGGUGCGCGAGUGAUUAGUAGACGAGAAACGAAUCAGGUUUGGUCAGACGAUCACAAGCACAUAUAUGUUCUCCGAGCCACGGGAAUAAAUUGAGGGAUUCGACAAGAUAGAGACCCGACGGGACAAUACAUACUGGACAGCAGACUGAGAAAACAGAUAUCGGAUACGCACGACGAGGACGAGACCGUCUACACAGUGGUCCAAACUGAAUUUAUUGAGGACAAAAUUUGUGAUUGCGUCGCCUAAAAAGGAAGGUAGAAGAGAAGCCGUUAGAGGAAGAAAGACAAACUAAAAUUGUAAGUGUAUUUAUGCGAGUAAGAAAUGCUAAAUUGUAAGAUUUCACGAAACAUUAAAUUUUAUUACUUACAGUUUGAUCUGCCAUAACGUAAAACGGCUGAUUUUCAAAAACGGUUUGUCGAUCCGAAAUUCCGACCCGAACAGAGGGUGAAAAUUUUAAAUUUUGAAGUUAAACGAUUUCGGUGACGUUACAAUGAGGGAGCAUUCAAAUUCUUCUACAGAUAUAUUCGUAGAUGUCAUCUACCGUAUGCGUGAUAAUGUUUGCACCAUCGUACAAAUAAGGUACCCAUAUCACCUGUACACACAAUGUCUUGGUUUUUAUUGCAUGCACGUAAGCUCUAACUCAUAUUACAGUAGGUUGCGGGUAAAAAAAUCCGAUUUCUUAAGUUUAAAAUUUGCACCAUGAAGGGGU